GUGGGCGGCACGGUCCCGCCGCUUAUUGUUCCUCUCAGCUGUGACCCAACUGUCAUGAAAUAGUUAACCACAAAAUCGCUUUUACUGUUAAAACGGCAUGGCUGAUCUCUUUAAGAGCGCCCUCGGCUACUUGGGAACCAAUGGCGGAACAGCGGAGAAUGACUUUGUCGGCCAGGAAGUUGAAAUCAAUGGUAUUCGUCUUCGUAUAAGAAAGCUUAUAGCAGAAGGUGGCUUUGCCUUUGUAUAUAUUGCACAAGACCUCAGCACUGGGAAGACAUAUGCUCUGAAGAAAUGGGUUGGAUCAAGCAUAGAGCAGCCCACAAUCCCACAUGAGGAUAUACUCGACUCACCCACACGGCUGCUGGGUGCUGAUCAGGUAGCCUGUGACUCUAUUCGUCAAGAAAUUUCGAUAUCCAAGCAGCUCUCAGGACAUCCCUACAUUGUGGAGUUCUUAGCUGCAGCAGCUAUUGACAAAACUCAAAGUAAAGAAUGCCGGAAUGAGUUCCUCCUCCUAAAUGAAUUGUGCACAGGAGGCUCGCUUGUGGAUGCUUUGCGACUCCUAGAGGGUAAAUUAUUACCAGUGAGCCAGGUGUGCACAAUUAUGUAUCAGACUUCUAAAGCCGUCCAGCAUAUGCAGGCUCAGAAUCCUCCUGUUACUCAUCGAGACCUGAAAGUGGAGAACCUACUCAUCAGUGAAUCUGGCCAUAUCAAACUAUGUGAUUUUGGUUCAGCCAUGACCAAAACUUAUUCAAUUGAUCUGGGAUGGAGUGCACAUCAACGUUCUUUGCUUGAAGAUGAGAUGGCACAGCACACCACACCAAUGUACCGUGCUCCAGAAAUGCUAGAUACAUGGAAUAACUAUACCAUAAAUGGCCAGGCAGAUAUCUGGGCACUGGGCUGCAUCCUUUACUACCUCUGCUAUCUUAAACAUCCUUUUGAAGAUUCUGCUAAACUAAGAAUUGUUAAUGGUAAUUUUGCUAUUCCUACCAAUGAUGGCAAAUAUGAUUGCUUUCAUGAGCUAAUACGAGGCAUGCUGAAGGUAGACCCAAACCAAAGAUUUAAGAUAUCAGAUAUCUUGGAUAGAUUAGCUGCCAUUGCAGAGACCAAAGAUUUUGACAUGAAGGCUCCACUAACAAUAAAAUACAAGAAGAUUGACUUGACAUCUCCAGUACUUCAGCCUGAGAGUAAUGGAAGGGUUAAUGAAAGGCGGUGCGGUGCUCCCGACCGUCCCCCUGCCCGUCCUCCUGCUCCACGGUCUCCACUACCACAACGACCACCACCUCCAGCCUCACAACCCCAGCAAGGUAUGAGUGGGCAAGGUGUACAGCCUCAGCAACAACCAGCUGCUGGUGGUGGUUUAUUUUCUUCUAUUAAGGGAUACUCGGGCAGUAUCUUCAAGAACCUCAAGGAUACAUCCAGCAGAGUCAUGCAGACAGUUAGCCAGUCAAUUACUCGGACGGAUCUUGAUCUCUCUCACAUUACGUCACGUGUGGUUGCUAUGUCGUACCCAGCCGAAGGGUUAGAGUCGGCUUACAGAAAUCAUGUUGACGAUGUUAAAGCGGUUUUGGAUGGCAGACAUCCAGGGCAUUACGUGAUCUAUAAUGUAUCUGGUCGCCAGUAUCAUUCAACGAAAUUCACUUCGAGGGUGGUGGAAGGAAACUGGUCUGGGAAAAAGGCCCCUACAUUGGGUGCUCUUUAUAACUUGGCCUGCAGCAUCCAUGAUUACUUAGCUAAGGACCCUAAGAACAUUGUAGUAAUCCACUGCAUUGAUGGUAAAGCUUCAACUGCAAUGCUGGUGUGCUCAUUCCUCCUGGUAUCUCAUGCUUUCAAGAGACCUGAACAAGCACUCAAUAUGUUUGCAAUUAAAAGAUGCCCACCUGAUCUUCAGCCAUCUCAGUUCAGGUAUCUUGAGUAUAUUCGUGAUCUGGUGUCUUCUCCGCCAACUGUGCCACAUUUUAAGCCUGUGACGCUGACCUCGAUCAUUGUCUCGCCUAUCCCACUCUUUACGCAGAGAAGAGAUGGAGCACGUCCUUAUGUAGAAGUUUGGCAGGGUGAACACAAAAUGCUCUCUACCCUUCAAGAAUAUGACCACAUGAGGUUGUAUAUGCCACCAGACAAUAAGAUCAUCAUUCCUAUCAAUAUUCACUUGGUGGGUGAUGUAUGUGUAUAUAUAUAUCAUGCUCGAAAGAUGAUGGGAAAGGUAAUAGGGGUGAAGAUUGCUCAACUGCAGUUUCACACAGGCUUCAUACCAGAAGAAGAUACUUCAUUAAAGUUUGGUCUGCGUGAAUUGGAUGAUGUACUGGAACCUGAUCGUUACCCAGAACGUUUCACCGUGACUGUAAACAUUUUUGUGUCUGAUGUAGAUCGCAUGCCACCUCAACCUCCUCCCUGGGUAGCAAGACCAUCAUCUUCCUUGAGGCCUCAUGUACCAUAUUCUACUGCUAUUGAGAUGGAGGAAACAAAGGACAAAUUUGCAGCAAGUGCACAUGGUUCACCUGCAUCUCAGAGACGAGAUUCCCCACCCAAAUUAGGGACAGGCAACAUGCAGGCGUGUAAAUCGGACUUCAUGGCUACAAUCAGUGGGAGUGGAAAGCCAGAACCAACUCAGGGAGGCGAAGACGUUGAGGAUCUCAUAUCAGAUGAAGAAGACACUCCAAUGUGUCAGCAGGAAGAUGUCCCGGUGUCCGAUAUUAGUUCUAAAGAAGCUGACUUACUGAAUUGGGGAAUUUCAGCCCAAAGUGCAACAGGAAUUAAUCAAGUCGCUAAUGAUAUGGACUUGCUUGAUAUUGCUGGUUCUGAUGGCAUGAAGAGAGACCCUAGUAACUUUGACCUCCUCAGUGGGAUUGGUGGUGGUGCCAGUGAACCAAGUGUCAGUUCUUCCAUUAAUUCUCGGGAACCUGCAAAUGCUCAGGAAAAUUUGUUUGAUCCCUUUGGAACGUCAGUUGCUUCACAACAUGCAGGUGGUGGAAAAGCGCCUUCUGAAGAUAUUUUUGGGCAGUUUUCAAUACCUCAAACUCAACAACAAAAUAAUCUUCUGGGGAAUCUUGGAGGACCAGCCAUGGGUGGUCUUAGUCCAAUGGCAUCUUCAGGCAGUCCCAUGAUGGGUCCACGGCUCUUGGGAGGAGCAACUAGCCCAAGUAAUACAGUUGGUGGUGGGUUUGUACGUCCUCCAGCACAACAGCAGCCAAACAAACCUUCCGAUCCAUUUGCUGAUCUCGGUAAUUUGACAGGUAUAAGUGGAUGGGGUGGAUCUAAACCUUCAACACCAAAGGGUGGAACACCUGCAGGGGGAACGCCCUUGGGUGGUAGCACUCCUGUUACUGGGUCUCCACAGCACCGUCCACAGGUGGCUGGAGCAUGGCAGGGACAGACACCAGGUGUGAUUGGAGCACAAUUGGGUGGUUGGCAGCCGACAGGUAGACCUCAGCAGCCACCACAGCAACAACCUUCUCAGCCACAACCACCACAGCCACCACCAACUCAACCACAGCAACCACCAAUAGCUGGGAAAACACCAACAGGUACUCCACAUCAUCAGAUGAAAUCUCCAUGUCAGCCCAAUUAUGGACGUGUUAAUUUUGAUGUUUCUGGUAAAAAUAUAGGGGGUACUCCAAAGGGUAGGGUUGGAGAAGAUGCUUUUGGAGACCUGCUUGGUUCUCAAGGGUUCAGCUUCAGUAGUGGGAAAGACUCUGGUCCUCGCACCAUGGCCGAGAUGAAGAAGGUAGAAUUGGCCAAAAGUAUGGAUCCAGAGAAGCUUAAGGUAAUGGAAUGGACUGAGGGCAAAAAGAAGAAUAUUCGUGCACUGUUAUGUUCCCUUCAUUCAAUAAUCUGGGAAGGCUGCAAGUGGAAUGAGUGUGGUAUGCAUCAGUUGGUGCAACAAAAUGAGGUUAAAAAAAUGUACCGCAAGGCGUGUCUAGCAGUCCAUCCAGACAAGUGCACAGGAACGGAACAUGAAUCUCUUGCAAAACUCAUAUUUAUGGAAUUAAAUGACGCUUAUUCUGAAUUUGAAAAUGAUCCUAGCCAGCAGCAGAUUUUUAAAUAAGAACUGCUUUGCUUAUCAAGAGUUCUUACCAGAGAACCAUGAUGCUUUGUGCACUCUCUGCUGCUUUGUUCUUACCGCAGUCAUAGAGGGGGGGCUUGGCACUUGCAGAAUCUUCCUCAUAUAGCCCAUACAAUGGUAGAUAGAUCACUGCAAAUGUGUAUUAAAUAAGUUUAUUUUUGUGAAAGAAAACAUGCAUUAACAAAAAUUUGUUUGAAUUACGUAUGUAUUCCAUUUAGUUAACAUUAUGCUCAUUAAGUGUAAUUCAUCUCAUUAUUUGCAAAGCUACACUGGUAUACCCUGAAUUCCAGAAUUGUGUUCAUUUUAGUGGGUUUGUUUACUUGGAUUUUAAUUAGUUUUAUCUUGAUAGUGUAAAUAUGGUAUUGAUCUGAAUGCAUUGUGAUAUAGUCAAGAAUGUGUACAAGUAAGGAGUAAGUUAUACAGUAUUCUGAUAGUGCACUUUUUUUGUUUUGAUCUGAAUGCAACAAAAUUAAUAAUAUAACUUAGUAUUUGCCUGUAUUUACGUAAUGGCAACUGUGUCACGGUGGGAACAGGAAGUCUGUGGCCUGUGGAAGGUCCCCCAUAUGCUUCCUUAUGUAAUUUGUUUGGGCAGUAAGAUGAACUGUAUCUCUGUCUUGGCCUUUACUUCUGUGGCAUGUAGGUGGUUCUAUAUUUAUAUUACACUAUGGGUGAAGGAAACAUCUAUUGCCCUACACACAGAAAUCACAAUAGCAUGAUAUAUUAAAUGAACAAAUCCACAAGGGCCAUGAUGAGAGUUCGAACCUUCGCAGCUGGGAACAUCCCGUGCAUAGGUCCGAACCCUCAUCACAGCCCUUUUGGAUUUGAUCUAUUGCUAUUCUACACUGAGGCUUGGUGAUCUUUGUUGUUGAUUCUUGUGAGAGUUUCAUUGGAACUCUUGAAGAGGAGGUUUAAAUUUGCAUUAAUUCGGUCAUAAAAAUCUCGAGAAUAUCAUCCAUUAUGUCUUGUUUGUGUUUAUUACUUCCUCAAAAUAUACAGUAUUUUGUAUCUGUAUUUUUUGGCAUCUUUUCUUGCAUAUUUUUAGAGGGUUCCAUAGUUUUUACUUGUGCAAGUAUUUUUUUCAGAUAUUCCUUUAUACACUAAAAUAAAUUUAAUGGUUGAUCUCCAUUGCCAGUUGUGUGCAAUUUUCCUGGGCUGACCUCUAAAUUGGUUCUCUGUGCAUUAGGCUCCAGUACCUCAGAGGCGAACAGAGCAUGAGGAUUAGAGAUCGAUCCAAUCCAGAGAAAAACUGGCCAGAAGGUAUAGACAUAACACAACGAACCACUAACUUUGAUUAGAAAGAAAAACUAACAUUGGUUUACAGAUGAAAAGCAAUCCAUCAGUAGACAGUGUACCAUUAGGUAGGAACUAACAUCACACCUGGAGGUCUGGAGGUCCUGCUGACAAACAUCUCCAUGUGUGCGCCUGGUACCACCUGUGGUGCUCCAUACUCGUUUGCUGGAACUAGCUAUGUUCUAUAUACUGUAAUUGGUGUUAGCAUUUUUUCGAACAGUGCUUAGUGUUUGAUUCCCUAUUACUCUUCUAAUUAGGAAUACGACUGUUUGGUACUCUCCUAGUGUGUUCUUAGCCUUUUGGUUCACUCCAGUUAUAUUUCAGGGUUUGCUUCCAUGAUAUCCGUUCGAGGUUUAUUUCCUUAUCAAAGUUAUCGUCUCUGUGUAGCUUGGUCCUCAUUGCCAAAUCUGUUUAAGAGUCAAGUUAACUGUUAAUUAUUUAACACAAAAAAAAUCAAAUUUGUGCUUGGCUAUGAGUUGAAUUAAGUUGGUGCCUUGCACGGUUUUGGGAUUGUACCAGGGUACUGACAAGAAUUAUUUCAGUGUAAUUCUAAGGUUUCAUACUCCUAUUCGUUCAUGAUUUAUGGGGUUUGGUGUGUAGGAAACACUUUCACUUCUCUGGCACUUGACACUGCUGGAUAUUCUUUUCUGCCCUGAAGAGGCAGUUCCUGUUGUUUGUGGGAUGGUUCUUAUUACCCACAGUAUUGUGGAGUGAAUCUUGACAUGGAUGAAGAUUUCUUCAUAUAAUGGUGCUCCAGGGAGGUGGAGCUCUAGAAUCUCAGUGUAACUUCAUAUUACCUUUCUUGCUGCACAAGGAUAUCAUAGUAUCGCAAUGUAUCGCCGUUAAAUUAUGUACAUAGCCGUUUAUGAACCUGAUAUUUAGUCUAUGGUUUAGUAAUUUUUCAAGAUUGUUAGCUGUUUAAGUUUUUCUGUAAGGAUCUUACUUUUGUAGUGAUUAAAUGGGAUCUGUUAGGGUUUUGUAAUAAGGUGGUACUUAACUCUGAAAUUUCACAGAUCUAUUCUUUAUUUUGCUUGUGGACUUAUUAAUUUUUGUAUAAUUGUUGUGGCCUUGACAGGUUUCUCACAUGAGCAAGAGAAUUUGAACAAUAUAAUUUUAGAGUAACAGUUAAUGUAUCUAUAUAUAUUAUAUAAGUACUCUCAGGGUUAGUUUACAGGUUGUAAAGCAAGACAGAGGCUACGGUGGUUGUACUUCUAAGAAAAGUGAAGAUUUGAGUCAUUUAAGGGACCUUCUGCAUGUUCUUGUGCCUUGAUGAUUUAAUCUGCAUUUCUUUCUCAUAAUGCUUAACUGUUAGUAAUUUUCUGAGAUGGCUCUUUCAGUAACUUCCGAAGCUAACUGCUGGUACACUUACCUGCUUGAUUGAGGCAACACUGUUGCCUUAGGAAGAAAACAUUCCAGAAAGCACAAGUGCAAUGAAGUGACUGCUUGUAGAAAAUUAGGUACACUUGGGUAGCAAGUCACCUUUCUGCUGAGUAGCAUAUAAGACAUGGAGAACAUGUCCUUGCUCUUUAGGUGUAUAGGACCAGAGGUGGUCCUAUUUCUUGCUUUUAGGUUCUCUCUCUCUCUCUCUCUCUCUCUCUCUCUGCAACUCCUGCAUUGGGCUGGGUUUGGCAUUUUUCUCUGAAUUCCCAAUUUGUAUUACAGAUUGGGGCGCUGGCUCGUACAUUGCCAAGUGACAGCAAUGGUUGAGCUGGUGGCAGUGGUGAUUAGGCUGCUCUCUUCUCUCUUUUCUGGUACCCUCAAAGCCUACUUUUGUUCUCCUGGUCUCUGGGUUUUGCAUUCCAGGGAGUUCUAUUUUUUUUUAAAUUGGGGGUGGAAGGGGGGGGGGGGUAGUUGGCUUCCAUGCCUGGCACCCCUAUAAUUUUCUCUAAAAAUAUUGAGCCCGAGGGUGUGGGGGUGUGGUCAGUGGCUGUUGUUGGGCCACACAUGCAUGGUGACAGUCAGGGACAUUACAGUUAAGGUAUUUAUUCCAUGGCAAUUGUUAUACGUGUUUACAUCUUGAUACAUAAAUUUCUUCAAGCAGCUGCUUGUUCUUUCUGGCGACUAUUUUCUUGGAUCUGGGUCGCUCUUUGACCUUCUAAGCUUUUCCUAGCCUUGCAGAGAGAGCCAGAUUGUGAGCCUGGCUUCUAGUAGGCAAGGUUGGGUCUUGUAAGCCAUAAACAUUGUCCUAUGGCAUUGCUGUACCAUCAUUUAGCUCAGAGAGCUUCUGAGGGGCUUCCAUGAAGGGUUGUUUCAUUACAUUCACUGCUUGAUUUUUGGCCUUGGUCUGUUACCUGGCACACUCACUGCAUUUCUGUAUUAAAUGUCCUGGCCACACAUUAUUGUCCCUUAUUAUUCUUGAAAGUGAAUUCAGCUACAGUUUGUAAUGAACACACAAAUAAAGUACAGUAAAAACUUUACUUUUUAUGUUCAUUAUGUGACAAUGAACAUAACUUUAUUAUGUUCAUGAUCACAUGUUUGAUUCAGUUCUAUUAUAUAUUACUUUAGUUUUCUGCUCAUAAACAAAUUUUCUUCAAUACUCUUAAGUAUUAGUCUGGUAUAUAUAUUUCAUGACCAGCGAUAUAAAAGGAAGAUUUGGUUUUCAUAAUACAGUAUAAAGUUUUAUUUUUGUCAGUUGAUAAGUUAUAACUUUAACAUUAAUAUAAUAUUAAUAGACCUUGAACCCAGUUUUGAAUUUGAAUUAAAUUUAUAAUGUGCUAAAUGUGUAAUGACAUGUAAUGUUGCUGAUUGACCACCAGACUUUCCAAGACUGCAUGCACUUACCCACUAAGCUUUCCAACUUGGUACCUUUUAAUAAUUACUUCCUUAUUUUCCCAUUAUGCUACUCCAAGACAUGGUUUAAUCUAAAGUAAAGCUGCAACCUAAGAUAUCUUUUGGUAAUCAGAAAGUUUACAAAUAAAGAUACAUUAAAAUUGACAGGUGUUAUAUUUGAGGUUACCCCACCUGAUGCAUGCAGGUUAUGGAGGAAGCAAUCAAAAUUAGUAUAAAUUUCAACUUAAAAUGAUGCAAAAGUUAAACUCGGAGAGCAGAACAAACCACCAUUAAUAUCGUGGUUACUACAAUAAGCUCUGUUUUAAUCAAGUAUUUGCACAGUAGCAUAACUAUAAAUAACAUUAGAGUACUGUGUUUUAAUAAGUAGAAUCUGUUAGUUUUUGUUCUUGGCAUGUGUAACUAAUACAGUAUUUAAAUUGUGGUUUGAAGAAGUAAUUCUGACUGCUAACAAGCAUGUUUUGCUUUGUCUAAAUGUAAAUUCAAUACAUUUUCUUUUGAUGACAUUUUUAAUUUAGUACUGUAUAAUUUUGACAUGUAAUCUCUGAAAAUCUGAAAGAAGGAAUUUAUCUUAAAA
rnacentral:misc_RNA from 1 species